rnacentral:rRNA from 1 species
AGUGAACGCUGGCGGCGUGCCUAAUACAUGCAAGUCGAACGACGGGGGACACGGGUGAGAUAUCUAGAGUUAUUCUGCGCAACACAGAGGAACAACAGUUGGAAACCGCUGAUAAUACAUCAUAGUGGAGGAGGAGAUGUAAGCGUAUCAGUUAGUUGGUAAGGCAAUGGCUUACCAAGGCUAUGACUAGUAACUGUUCUGAGAGGAUGAUCAGUCACAUUUGAACUGAGACACUGUCCAAACACCUACGGGAGGCAGCAGUACGGAAUAUUGCGCAAUGGGGGAGUCCCUGACGGAGCAUCGCCGCGUGGAGGAUGACACUUUUCGGGGCGUAAACUCCUUUUAUCAGGAAAGCGGUACCUGAUGAAUAAGCACCGGCUAACUCCGUGCCAGCAGCCGCGGUAAUUC